CUGUCCCUUUCUGUCCCUCCAUCUCUGUCUUCCCCUUCUGUUUCUCUUUUCCCUCUCUUUCUCUCUUCCUAUCUUCCUCCCUCUUCCUCUUUCUCCUCUCUCCUCCUCUCUCUGUUUCCCAAACACCACUUUCGAUGGUGCUAAUGACUAUAUGGAAACUGAGUCCUGUGCCUGUGUGUGGGAGAAGAAGGCAGCAGACAGGAGUGCGUGUAACAUCUGCCAGGAUGCCCAGGAGCACAGAGGAGUGGAGUGCAUUCGCAGGACAAGCACAAGAAAGCCGAGAGUGCCGACGCCUCUCAGGCUGCCCACUGCCACACUGCCACCGCGAACCACCUGCUACAGCAGCCACACUCCAUCGAGGCAGAGAGGGCCAUGCACCUGCUGCAGACAGCAAGAGUGGAAGAACCUAGGAAGCUCUCUGCCGAUGCUCACAGCUGUCCUGGAAGAGGGAGUGGGGCCACCCAGCCCAGCUCAACUGCCCGGUAGAGCUCAAUUCCAUAGACGGUGGUCUCUGGGGACAGAGUGCCCCUCAGCUCCCAGGAAUGUGCCUGCGUGCUUCCCUCCCCGUGACACUUCCUUCCUCAGCUGGACAUGCGCUGAUGUCCACUUGUGAUGUGUUUAGCUUCACUGCAUGCCCGUGAGAGCCACGUGACCCUCAGCAGGACUUAUGAAGAUGUAACAUUGGACAUGGUAACAGAACAACCACACGAGAAUAAUCUCACAAGAUGGCCCAUCCGCAACAGGCUAGCACCUGGGCUACC